GACGAACGCUGGCGGCGUGCUUAACACAUGCAAGUCGAACGGAAAGGCCCUGCUUUUGUGGGGGGCUCGAGUGGCGAACGGGUGAGUAACACGUGAGUAACCUGCCCUUGACUUUGGGAUAACUUCAGGAAACUGGGGCUAAUACCGGAUAGGAGCUCCUGCUGCAUGGUGGGGGUUGGAAAGUUUCGGCGGUUGGGGAUGGACUCGCGGCUUAUCAGCUUGUUGGUGGGGUAGUGGCUUACCAAGGCUUUGACGGGUAGCCGGCCUGAGAGGGUGACCGGCCACAUUGGGACUGAGAUACGGCCGAGACUCCUACGGGAGGCAGCAGUGGGGAAUAUUGCACAAUGGGCGGAAGCCUGAUGCAGCAACGCCGCGUGCGGGAUGACGGCCUUCGGGUUGUAAACCGCUUUCGCCUGUGACGAAGCGUGAGUGACGGUAAUGGGUAAAGAAGCACCGGCUAACUACGUG
rnacentral:rRNA from 1 species